ensembl:lincRNA Gm27204 predicted gene 27204
CACAGCACAGAGGGAGCCAACAGCAUCAGACUUGUCCUUGACAGGCAUGCCUGGCUUCAGAUCUGCCAUGAAGAGCCAGGAGGUGGCAGGAUCCAGGAUGCUCUGGUCUCAUCCUUAGCCCAGCUUUGAACACACUGCUUGGACAGGCUUCUCCUGCCUAAGAUUUGACAACUGUUCAGUCAGGGACAAGACUGAGCAAACACAUCAGAGGCAGGAGGAUUGCUUCCAGCUGCUGAGACCAGGCAGGCCUCCAGGACACGCACUGUCUUCUGCCACUCACCCCCAUCGAUGAAGAACGACCUCCCAAGACUUCAAAGGACUCUGGAACUAAGCUGAUAACAGAGCAACUGGAGAGCCCCUCCCCAGCUAUGUUCCUUGGAGUACUUCAGAAUUGACUGUGUGUAGGAAUUAGGAUCUCUGUUGUGCCCCCUCCUCAGGGUGUGUGUGUGUGUGUGUGUGCACUUGCACACACACAAAUACACAACUACUAUUGUGCAUAUGUGGAGGUCAGAGGACAACAUGGUAUCAAAACUGGCU